CCCUUAGACGUUCUGGGCCGCACGCGCGCUACACUGACCAGUGCAACAAGCAUCCGUCCUUGGCCGACAGGCCCGGGCAAUCUUUGAACGCUGGUCGUGAUGGGGAUAGACUUUUGCAAUUUUUGGUCUUCAACGAGGAAUUCCUAGUAAACGCAAGUCAUCAACUUGCAUUGAUUACGUCCCUGCCCUUUGUACACACCGCCCGUCGCACCUACCGAUUGAAUGGUCCGGUGAAGCGUUCGGACCGUGGCCUUUGGACGGUUCGCCGUCUGUUGGCUGCGGGAAGUUCGUUAAACCUUAUCAUUUAGAGGAAGGAGAAGUCGUANCA
rnacentral:rRNA from 1 species